CGCAUGCCUUACACAUGCAAGUCGAACGGCAGCACGGGUGCUUGCACCUGGUGGCGAGUGGCGAACGGGUGAGUAAUACAUCGGAACGUACCUUAUCGUGGGGGAUAACGCAGCGAAAGUUGCGCUAAUACCGCAUACGCCCUGAGGGGGAAAGCGGGGGACCGUAAGGCCUCGCGCGAUUAGAGCGGCCGAUGUCUGAUUAGCUUGUUGGUGAGGUAAAAGCUCACCAAGGCGAUGAUCAGUAGCUGGUCUGAGAGGACGAUCAGCCACACUGGGACUGAGACACGGCCCAGACUCCUACGGGAGGCAGCAGUGGGGAAUUUUGGACAAUGGGGGCAACCCUGAUCCAGCAAUGCCGCGUGAGUGAAGAAGGCCUUCGGGUUGUAAAGCUCUUUUGUCAGGGAAGAAACAGCAGCUCUAACACAGACUGCGAAUGACGGUACCUGAAGAAUAAGCACCGGCUAACUACGUGCCAGCAGCCGCGGUAAUACGUAGGGUGCGAGCGUUAAUCGGAAUUACUGGGCGUAAAGCGUGCGCAGGCGGUUAUACAAGACAGGCGUGAAAUCCCCGGGCUUAACCUGGGAAUGGCGUCUGUGACUGUAUAGCUAGAGUGUGUCAGAGGGGGGUGGAAUUCCACGUGUAGCAGUGAAAUGCGUAGAUAUGUGGAGGAACACCAAUGGCGAAGGCAGCCCCC
rnacentral:rRNA from 1 species